ACUGUCCUGACUCACCACCAUCUUGGUAGUGUGCAAGACUCUGGGACGGCAUGAGAAAGGCAGAAAGGGAGCAAAGGAGCUGGUGGGGUGUCACAGGGCCUAUGUAUGAGGCAGAUGUGAGUUCUGCAUCCAGUUUUGCAAUUUAUCCAUUUACCUGCCUGAGACUUGGAAACACCUACUUUAUAGUCCUGAUUCAAGUGUUGGCGGAUGGAAGGGAGGAGACUCCUGACCCUCAGAAUGAGAUCAAUGGCUUUUCAAAAGCAGCACACCAAACUGUCAAAGUGGUGAUCCCUCUUCAUUUGACAUGCUCACAAAGAGGAGAAUAAGACAAGAAAGCAAGCUAACCCAGAAACAGUGAGGUGACAGUGCGCCUCAAACACAGGAAAAUAAAAUGCAUAACUAUACUGAUUGGAUGCUGCUCAAAAUCAGCCUACAUGCCAUCUUUGGUACGUGUGAACAAAGUUACCAAUUCCUAUUCUAACUAUGAUAUACUCAAAACUGUACAAUCAGUAAUGGGAUGCUCUAAAGACAAAAGAACUGCAAACCCUUUUUAAAAAAUUAUUUUCAGUAACAGUGUUACUUUUUGGUAUUAAGAUUGUAAGAAUACCUUGUGGAUAAUGUGGAACAAACCAAAUGAAUACUUAUGUGAAUGUGAUAUUCUCAAAUUAUCAUCCCUGGUAUUCCAGAGUAACAAGAUUCUUGGUGGUGACAGAAGGCAAUACAAAUAAGAUAGAAGUUAAAUAAAAACCUUGUAGUCUUCAAUUUAAAUAAAACUAUACGUAUAAAACUUUAAUUUAAAUAAAAUUAUGAUUGUUACAUCUUUUAAAUAGAAAAAAAAGGCCUAGAAACAAUGAUCAAUGCAACAGCAAAUAAGAAUCUCUAGAACCUAAAUACCUUUUUUUUUGCUAGACUCAGCCAAUUUUUCAAGAAACCCUAUUACCUUUUAAUGUUUCCUUCAAUGAGAUCAAGAGCUAAUACUUUUUCUUUGUUCAAUUUCAGAGAUCAAUAGCUAUUCAAAAGUAGCACACCAAAAAGGCGACAGGGUUUCCUGAAAAAUUAGCCAGUUCUAGGUGUAAUGGUUAGAAAUGUACAAAUUAAUCCUAGAAUGACUUGUCUUACCAUAUAGCAAAGAAGUCACUAAGGAUUAAUUGAUCAAAGAUGAGACAAUUUGAGCAUCAAUAAGAAAAAUAACUACAAUGGACUGAAACACAUACCUUUUAAAUCCACAGCUCAUUAAGAAUGGGACUAAAAAGGCCAGGCGUGGUGGCUCACGCCUGUAAUGCCAGCACUUUGGGAGGGUGAGGCAGGUGGAUCACCUGAGGUCGGGAGCUCGAGACCAGCCUGACCAACAUGGCGAAACCCCAUCUCUACUAAAAAUACAAAAUUGGCCGGGCAUGUUGGCACAUGCCUGUAAUCUCAGCUACUCAGGAGGCUGAGGCAGGAGAAUCGCUUGAACCUGGGAGGCAGAGGUUGCGGUAAGCCGAGAUCGCACCAUUGCACUCCAGCCCGGGCAACAACAGCGAAACUCCAUCUCAAAAAAAAAAAAAAAAAAAAAAAAGAAUGGAACUAAAAAACAGCCUGGGCAACAUAAUGAGAUCCUGUCUCUACAAAUAAUCAAAAAUUAGCCGGGCAUGGUGGUGCAAGCCUGUAGUCCCAGCUACUUGGGAGGCUGAGGCAGGAGAAUUGCUUGAGCCCAGGAAGUCGAGAUUGCAGUGAGCCAUGAUUGCACUCAGCUUGGACAAAAGAAUGAGGCCCACUCUCGAAAAACAAGAAUGGGGAAAAAGCUAAUUGGUUACAAUGAAGGUUGCUAGAGGUGGAAUACAUUAUAUUAAAACUGAUAAGAGCAAGAAUAUUUAUCCCGCCUUUUCUAUAUAAAUGCAGCACUAGGUAACCAAAUAGUAGAAGGGGAAAUUUUUCUUUAUAGAAGCAGUACAGCUGAAAAAUAAGUGAGGGAGAAAAAACCAGAGUAUCAACAAUUUGCAACCACUGAUGAAAUAAUGCAUCCAGGCAUGAAACAUUAAUGUCAGCUAAGCCUACAAAAUUAAAGACAACCAGACAUUAUGUGCUUCUUGAUAAAAGAAGUGAACAUCACCUUAUAAUGUAGUCUUACCCUUACUCACCUAAAAAAGAACCUGAAGCUGAAACUCUAGAGCCAACUUGCAAUUUAUAGGGGACAGAUGAACAUGUUAAAUUAUACCAUGGGAUACAAAAGCAAAAUUCAAACUAUGGGAAAACGUGAAAGACAAAUAACCUUGUUUCUUAAACAAUAAAUUAUGAAGAAUAAAAUAACAGAUAGAGUGGGAACUUAUAGGACCAAAAGAAACAUAAAAGAUAUAUCAAUCAACCACAAUGUGCAGUACCUUAUUUGGAUCCCGAGUUUUAAAAAAAAUUGUAACAUUUGCAAUUAGUAGAAAUUUGAACACAUAUUUAAUAAUUUGUGAUAAUGGUUUUGUGGCUAAGUUUAAAAAAUGAAAGGCCCCAAUCUUCAGAAAUCUACUCUGAAAUAUUUACAAUUACAUAUUUAACAAGUAUAUAAAAGUAUAACCAUAUCUGGGAUUUGCUUUCACUUAGUAAGAGAUGGUAGCUGGAGAGAUGUAUGGAUGAGAUAAGAUUGGCCACAAGCUGAUGGUUACUAGAACUAGGUGUCUGAAGUUUAAAAUUCUACACGAUAAAAUAUCUAAAAAAUUUGUGUCACAGAAUUUCAAUAGCAAUUAAAUUCAGGAAAAGAUAUUCAAAUGUCUUAAUAGCAAUUACCAGAUAAUAAAAAGUUAUUGUAAAAGAAAACCUUUGUGUUACAGAUUUUCACUGAAUUCAGACUUAUAAAGAAUUAUGCAAAUGUAUGUAAGAGUAAUUAUUGAUUAAUAGAUUAACAGUAUUUAGGAAAACCCUAUGAUGUCAUAAAAGUUAAUGGAAACUGUAUACGAUUACAGUAAGUAAUAAAAUUAUGUCAUAAAUCUUUCCAUACUAAAA